rnacentral:rRNA from 1 species
CCUACGGGUGGCAGCAGUGAGGAAUAUUGGUCAAUGGGCGCGAGCCGGAAACAGCCAAGUAGCGUGAAGGAUGACUGCCCUACAGGUUGUAAACAUCUUUUAUAAAGGAAUAAAGGGAGGGACGGGUGCCCUUUUGCAUGUACUUUAUGAAUAAGGAUCGGCUAACUCCGUGCCAGCAGCCGCGGUAAUACGGAGGAUCCUAGCGUUAUCCGGAUUUAUUGGGUUUAAAGGGAGCGUAGAUGGGUUGUUAAGUCAGUUGUGAAAGUUUGCGGCUCAACCGUAAAAUUGCAGUUGAUACUGGCAGCCUUGAGUACAGUAGAGGUAGGCGGAAUUCGUGGUGUAGCGGUGAAAUGCUUAGAUAUCACGAAGAACUCCGAUUGCGAAGGCAGCUUACUAGACUGCCACUGACAUUGAUGCUCGAAAGUGUGGGUAUCAAACAGGAUUAGAUACCCCAGUAGUC